UCUUCUCUUUCUUUUCUCCUCCUCCUUCUCUUCUUCUACCAACUUUCUUGUUCUAGAGGGGGCAAUUUUUGGAAAUGGCAGAGGAGGGUUCUGUGAUGCUUUUUAUUACGCAUUUGGAAAUGGCUGUGAUGGAACCACGACCUCUUGUUCUUUUCCUCUGUCUCGGGAGGUGUGUUCCUUUGGUACUGAUAAUUAUGGGGAAGUGAAUAACAGCUACAUAAAUACCAUGCAUGUAAAUUAUUUUUGCUCAGAAACAAAU
rnacentral:ribozyme from 1 species